AUGAAAGACUCCAAGACAGCCAGAAGUCCUGGCAGCACCUCCCCAAAGUCCCUAAACUCCCCCACAAGCUCAUCGCUGAAGAGCCCAUCCUUGUCCCUCUUUACUGCAAGGGUCUUUUCCUCCCCCAAAAAACUAUUCUACUCCCCACUAAGCCCUCCAGAAGUACUCCCCCACUCCAUUACCCACAUCACUGAUGAAGAGCCACCGGCAGUCCCAACAACUCCACCACCUCCAACAACUCUACCACCACCACCCCCCAACUCCACCACCACCUCCAGCAACUGUACCACCACCACCUCCUCCAACAACUCCACCACCACCCCCUCCAACAACUCCACCACCACCACCUCCAACAACUCCACCAACUCCAACAACUCUACCACCACCACCUCCAACAACUCCACCACCACCUCCAACAACUCCACCACCACCACCUCCUCCAACAACUCCACCACCACCACCACCGCCUUCAACAACUCCACCACCACCACCAACAACUCUACCACCACCUCCAACAACUCCACCACCACCACCUCCAACAACUCCACCACCACCACCUCCAACAACUCCACCACCACCACCUCCAAUGACCGAGUCACCAAUGCUCCAAGCUUCAAUCAGUGAGAUCAGGUACUUUCUUACUUUUUAACUCUGCACUGUGAUUAUUAUUUGAUCCUGCUGGUCAUCUAUGAACGUUUGAACAUCUUGAAGAACGAUCUGGCCUUAAUGACCAUGUACUCUUAUCUCCACCCAGCACAGCCAAAAGAGGAAUUUGCUAAAUGUAUGAUAUGUUACGAAUUCCAAUUUGUUGUGGCUUACGUUGGCUAGGUGGCUAAAGCUAAUGUUAGCUAGGUGGAUAACAUUAGCUAGGCUAGGGGUUAGGGUUAAGAUUAGGAGUUAAGUUAAAGGGUAGUUGCAAUGUUGCUAAUUGGCUAAAAUGCUAAAGUUGUCCAUGAUGAGAUUUGAACACGCAACAUUUGGGGUUUUGCCUUAAGUAACCUUCUGUCUUAUGCAACCAUACCCAACGUAACAUAUCAUACUGAUUUGUCCUGGAAUUAUUUUUACUAUGUUACGUCUAGUCUAUGAGACCAGGCUGUCAUAAGGGGGAAUAUUUGUUUUUAGAAUUCUCUAAAUAUUUCCAAUGUUAUUCAUUUCUAUGUUGGCUCUAUGCCUGGAAAUGCCUUUCUACGGAUUUCAAACUCUCCAAAAAAGUGUUUAAAAUUCUAAAAACUGACAAUAAUGAA
rnacentral:lncRNA from 8 species